rnacentral:RNase_P_RNA from 1 species
GCGGAGGGAAACGGGGUCGCGGAUCGGCUGCAAGGCUCGGUUCGAGGAAAGUCCGGGCUCCGCAGGACUUGGUGCCGGGUAACGCCCGGGCGCCGCAAGGCGACGGAAAGUGUAACAGAGAACAGACCGCCGAUGGCGGCACUUGUGCCGCACAGGUAAGGGUGAAACGGUGGGGUAAGAGCCCACCGCGCGCGCCGGAGACGGCCGUGGCACGACAAACCCCACCAGGAGCAAGGCCAAGCAGGAGCGAGCGGUGGUCCGCCGCGUUUGAGCUCCGGGUAGGCCGCAUGAGGCGACGGGUAACCGGCGUCCCAGAUAGAUGACCCCACGGGCUUCGGCCCGUUACAGAACCCGGCUUAUUUCCCUCCGUCGUC